rnacentral:rRNA from 1 species
GACGAACGCUGGCGGCGUGCUUAACACAUGCAAGUCGAACGGAAAGGCCCUGCUUUUGUGGGGUGCUCGAGUGGCGAACGGGUGAGUAACACGUGAGUAACCUGCCCUUGACUUUGGGAUAACUUCAGGAAACUGGGGCUAAUACCGGAUAGGAGCCCCUGCUGCAUGGUGGGGGUUGGAAAGUUUCGGCGGUUGGGGAUGGACUCGCGGCUUAUCAGCUUGUUGGUGGGGUAGUGGCUUACCAAGGCUUUGACGGGUAGCCGGCCUGAGAGGGUGACCGGCCACAUUGGGACUGAGAUACGGCCCAGACUCCUACGGGAGGCGGCAGUGGGGAAUAUUGCACAAUGGGCGGAAGCCUGAUGCAGCAACGCCGCGUGCGGGAUGACGGCCUUCGGGUUGUAAACCGCUUUCGCCUGUGACGAAGCGUGAGUGACGGUAAUGGGUAAAGAAGCACCGGCUAACUACGUG